AUACGGAGGAUCCGAGCGUUAUCCGGAUUUAUUGGGUUUAAAGGGUGCGCAGGCGGCCAUUUAAGUCAGCGGUUAAAUCGUGGGGCUCAACCCCAUUCUGCCGUUGAUACUGGGUGGCUUGAUUGCGGUCGAGGUUGGCGGAAUUCGUUGUGUAGCGGUGAAAUGCAUAGAUAUGACGAAGAACACCGAUUGCGUAGGCAGCUGACCAGACCGCAAAUGACGCUCAUGCACGAAAUUGCGGGGAUCGAACAGGAUUAGAUACCCUGGUAGUCCGCACAGUAAACGAUGAAUACUUGUUUUCGGCGAUAUAAUGUCGGAGGCAAAGCGAAAGCGAUAAGUAUUCCACCUGGGGAGUACGCCGGCAACGGUGAAACUUAAAGGAAUUGACGGGG
rnacentral:rRNA from 1 species